CGGACUGUAGUCUGNAACCCGACUACACGAAGCUGGAAUCGCUAGUAAUCGCGGAUCAGAAUGUCGCGGUGAAUACGUUCCCGGGUCUUGUACACACCGCCCGUCACACCAUGGGAGUCGGGAAUGCCCGAAGUCAGUGACCCAACCUAUUGGAGGGAGCUGCCGAAGGCAGGUCUGAUAACUGGGGUGAAGUCGUAACAAGGUAUC
rnacentral:rRNA from 1 species